rnacentral:rRNA from 1 species
AUGGACUUCGACCUGGAGCAGGCCGCCUACCGUGCCAUCCCUUCCGACCCGCGCGGCGACGACGACGACGAGGCGCCGGUGCUGGGCAACGCGCCGGCGGCGAGGUUCAGCGACAAAGAAAGGCUCUUGUUGCUUGUGGUAUUUUCUGUUGCACUGGUGGCGCUCAUGCUUUUCCCCGUGUACUACAUGGAGCAGGCCAACGUCGUGUCGUUCUCCGUCGGCGUCGCUGGCUACGAGGGCAUCGACCCGGCCAGGCCCGGCCGCGUGGUCUCACCGGCGUUCAACCUCACGCUGCGCAUGAACAAGACGUGCGCCGACCGCGCCGAGGUGGUCCUGACCUACUCCGGCGUCGCGCUCGGCUGGGCGCGCGUGGAGCCGCGCGGCUGCGUCUCCCGGGAGCCCUGGGGGAGGGGCGUGGAGGUGGUGGCCAGGGCCGACGGCGUGGGGCUCUCGGGGAGCGCAUGGCGUCGGAGUGGCGCCGCUCGGGGCGGGUGGAGCUCGACGUCGACGUGGCGGUCUACAGGGAGACCGGUGAAGGCCGGCGGUGGGGCUACCUCGGCGGCAACACCCUCGACAAGGUGA